AGUGAACGCUGGCGGUAGGCCUAACACAUGCAAGUCGAACGGCAGCACAGUAAGAGCUUGCUCUUACGGGUGGCGAGUGGCGGACGGGUGAGGAAUACAUCGGAAUCUACUUUUUCGUGGGGGAUAACGUAGGGAAACUUACGCUAAUACCGCAUACGACCUACGGGUGAAAGCAGGGGAUCUUCGGACCUUGCGCGAUUGAAUGAGCCGAUGUCGGAUUAGCUAGUUGGCGGGGUAAAGGCCCACCAAGGCGACGAUCCGUAGCUGGUCUGAGAGGAUGAUCAGCCACACUGGAACUGAGACACGGUCCAGACUCCUACGGGAGGCAGCAGUGGGGAAUAUUGGACAAUGGGCGCAAGCCUGAUCCAGCCAUACCGCGUGGGCGAAGAAGGCCUUCGGGUUGUAAAGCCCUUUUGUUGGGAAAGAAAAGCAGCAGGUUAAUACCCCGCUGUUCUGACGGUACCCAAAGAAUAAGCACCGGCUAACUGCGU
rnacentral:rRNA from 1 species